GACAGAGGAUGCAAGCGUUAUCCGGAAUUAUUGGGCGUAAAGCGUCUGUAGGCGGCUUUUCAAGUCCGCCGUCAAAUCCCAGGGCUCAACCCUGGACAGGCGGUGGAAACUACCAAGCUGGAGUACGGUAGGGGCAGAGGGAAUUUCCGGUGGAGCGGUGAAAUGCAUUGAGAUCGGAAAGAACACCAACGGCGAAAGCACUCUGGGCCGGAACUGACGCUGAGGAGCGAAAGCGUGGGGAGCGAACAGG
rnacentral:rRNA from 1 species